rnacentral:rRNA from 1 species
AAUAGAUACCCCGGUAGUCCACGCCGUAAACGAUGGAUGCUAGCCGUUGGACAGCUUGCUGUUCAGUGGCGCAGCUAACGCAUUAAGCAUCCCGCCUGGGGAGUACGGUCGCAAGAUUAAAAACUCAAAGGAAUUGACGGGGGCCCGCACAAGCGGUGGAGCAUGUGGUUCAAUUCGAAGCAACGCGCAGAACCUUACCAACCCUUGACAUGUCCAGUAUGGGUACCAGAGAUGGAACCCUUCAGUUCGGCUGGCUGGAACACAGGUGCUGCAUGGCUGUCGUCAGCUCGUGUCGUGAGAUGUUGGGUUAAGUCCCGCAACGAGCGCAACCCUCGCCCUUAGUUGCCAUCAUUUAGUUGGGCACUCUAGGGGGACUGCCGGUGAUAAGCCGCGAGGAAGGUGGGGAUGACGUCAAGUCCUCAUGGCCCUUACGGGUUGGGCUACACACGUGCUACAAUGGCGGUGACAGUGGGAUGCAAGGGCGCAAGCCUACGCAAAUCUCAAAAAGCCGUCUCAGGUUC